GACGAACGCUGGCGGCGUGCUUAACACAUGCAAGUCGAACGAUGAAGCCGCUUCGGUGGUGGAUUAGUGGCGAACGGGUGAGUAACACGUGGGCAAUCUGCCCUGCACUCUGGGACAAGCCCUGGAAACGGGGUCUAAUACCGGAUACGACCAUCGGCCGCAUGGCCUGGUGGUGGAAAGCUCUGGUGGUGCAGGAUGAGCCCGCGGCCUAUCAGCUUGUUGGUGGGGUGAUGGCCUACCAAGGCGACGACGGGUAGCCGGCCUGAGAGGGCGACCGGCCACACUGGGACGGAGACACGGCCCAGACUCCUACGGGAGGCAGCAGGGGGGAAUAUUGCACAAUGGGCGCAAGCCUGAUGCAGCGACGCCGCGUGAGGGAUGACGGCCUUCGGGUUGUAAACCUCUUUCAGCAGGGAAGAAGCUUUCGGGUGACGGUACCUGCAGAAGAAGCACCGGCUAACUACGUGCCAGCAGCCGCCGUAA
rnacentral:rRNA from 1 species